rnacentral:lncRNA from 1 species
AGAUGGCCACUCUCCGCUACCAGCGGUUCCUUAAGCUCUAUGAGGAAUGGCCAGUGGACAAGACCAAACGGGGCCAGGACUUGAGCGCUUACCUGUGGCAGCGGGUAGCACAGGCCUUUUGGGAGGGAGAGAAUACCCAGAUUGCAGAACCCGAGGCCUGUGAUCAGAUGUACGAGAGCUUAGCACGACUGCAUUCAAACUACUACAAGCACAAGUACCCUCGCCCCAGAGACACCAGCUUCAGUGGCCUGUCUGUGGAAGAAUACAAGCUGAUCCUGUCCACAAGACACUUUGGAGGAGUUUCAAAAGAUGAAUAAGAGUGUGUGGAGGAAACUGCAGGAGAAGUUUGCGCCCACAAGGCCUGAGGAGAAGCACAGAGCCUGGACUCGGGUGCUGUCCCGCCCACGGACCUGACCAUGCAGUCUUCUGAUGCCUGUCAAUAAACUGCCCAGUUUCCCCACCAAAAAGAAGGAAGGAAAUAAAUAAAUAAAUAAAUAAAUAAAUAAAUAAAUA